UUUUUUUUCCAGUUUAUGAGAAGCAAACAGAAUUUACUGAGGGGAAACUGUUGAUAGAUAACACGACUGGGCAUAUAGCAUGGCAGAGCAUUGGGCUGUCCAACCCACACCAGCUGUGUAACCUCGGGAACAUUGCUCAACUCUCUGAUCUAAAUUUUUCAUCUGUAAGAUGCAAAUGGCAAUAGUACUUAUUUUGUAGGGUUGCUGUAAGGAUUAAAUGAGAAAAUGAUCGUAAAAAAACACAAUAACAAACAGCUCCUUCAAGUCUUCAUUUUCAGAAAAGGGAUCCUAUUUCCUUGACGAUUUGACUACUUCAGUUCUUUUUCUUGUUUAAUCUCCUGAUUAACUGAAACUAUUCCACUUUGUCAUAGCUAGCUUAUUUAUUUAUUUGGCAUAAGUAUUUCCAACCAUAGAUCAACUUUUUUAAAAACCUACAAAAAAUGGGAUAUUAGAGCAGUCAGGCAAAUUGUCAUGAUGCUUUGUCGAGACGUUGCAGAAGGAGCAUGCCUCUGCCUGAAUCCUAGAAUGCCUUCUUGUAAUAGCCUCAUCAAACUGCCUUGUAUCCAGUAAAUGUUUGAAUAAAUCUGUUAAUUUCUGGGAAGUCCUAAAUGUGUUUAUCCCUUGGGAGGACAGAUUUCCUGGGCCUACACAAUGAACCUGUACCAGGAUCUCAAGCAGGCUGCUUUUCUUUUUUUACUAGCUGUAAGUUUGCCACUGCUGGUUUUAUAACUGUGCUGUCAAUAACUGACAUCAGUCCUUCAAGAUAGUCCUAGCAGUUGACAGCAGCAACAACAAGGCAACAGGAUUCUUGUUUUUGGAUCAUUACUUUAUAUUUUAUAUAACCAUAUUCUUUAAUACCUAGCUUCAACACUUAUGUCAUAUAUUUCUGAAAAUUAUUUAACAAAUGUUUGCUGGUUUUCUAAUGUGUAGUCUCUGUUGUUUAGCUUUCAGAAAUGAUUUAGAAGAACCAAGGUGGCCUUAGGAGCAGCAUGAGAGGAAAAGAGCAGGUAUUGAUUAUAUACAUUAAAGAUGGUGACUCUUCAGGACUCUACUGGGAGCUCUUGUUAAAAUGUCACUCCGUAACUCCUACAGCAGUGAUCCAGAUGAAGGAACACAGCCACAGGGAAUAACCAAGGUGCACUGGGGCAUAGUCUCGACUGCAGCACUGUGUGUCAUUCAGCUUCCUUGUUACUGUGGGGAAGACUGUGCUGCUGAAUAAUCAAAGGCUUUGUGAUACUCAGAGCAUGAAACAUCGCUGUCUUGCCUGUAGAGGAAUAGAGAGGAAGGACAUUCUACUUAAAGGACACAUCAUGUUUAGAGGCCUGAUAGAGCAGAUGGCAGCCAGAGAAAGUUUUAGGAGCAGAGUUGAUAUACCUGGUGACUAACUGAAUAAGAAGUAUAAAGAAGAAGGUGGAUUUUAAAAAAUGACCCUAAGUCUUUUAGUUCGGGUAACUUGCUAUAUCAAUCAAGAAAGGAAUUAUCACUAAGGAAAGGGGUAAGAGCAGGAGAGGGAGAGAACUCCCUGCUACUGUGCCUGGUCAUUGCCAAAUGUGAUUUCUUGAUUCUCUGAAAACUCAGUGAAGCGGACAUAGUAAGACUAAGAGAUUUGUCCAAGUUUACAAAGCUAAUGAGACCAGUUCAAGCUCAGGACCUCUUAACUGCAAAGCUGGUGGCCUUUUGUUACAAUAUCACGGUGAAUAGAAACAUAAGCCACAUUAUCUUAGGAAGAAUGCUCCCAGAAUUAUGCCCCAAUUCUAGAACACACACCAGUCAAAUGAAUAGAACUAUGCCAAAAAAAAAAGAAAGUAAUCGUUACUGUAAGGACUCAAUGUCUGCAACAACCUGCCCAGUCAUACUUUCUCAGUUUGCUUCAAAUGCUGAAUAUUUAAUUAAAGAGAAACUUGGUUCGGCACACAAUUGAAUCACUGAAAAUACAAUGCUGCCAUGUGUUGCUGUUUUAGUAGCUAUAAAAUUGGCCACAGGCCUUGAAACUGAAUGUCAAACAUUCCUGUACUGAACCAACUGCCAUUUGUAAGCUGUUCUUAUAUUGAACCUUCCUUCCUGGAAAUUUUUGCAUUAGAAAUCCUUCCUAUACUAGUUCAACAUGUUGCUUCAGACAUGAUAAACUGCCAUAGAAUAUAGAUUGGCUCAGGUCCUAAACAGUACUGGGGGGAGACUCAUCAUUACUUCAUUUCCCAUCAUAGAGAACAUAGAGCCUAUGCUGUACGAGAUCCAAAGCAGUGUUUCUUAAAGUGUAGUCCAAGAACAUGUCAUUUUAGUUGAUAGUUAAUAUUCAGGCAUCUGGGCUCUGCUCCAAAUCUACUCUAAAAGAAAUUAUUGCAAAGUAGCCCAGGAAUGUGCAUUUCACUCAAUGUCUAAUGUCAUUUUUAUGCAUGCAAAUGGUUGAAACAACUGGGUAAGAUGUGGACCAUGACCAUAUAGUGCAACAGAGGUAUUUCUCCCAGAGUAAUAGACAAGAACAGGUCCAUAGGAGUAGAUUCUCUACAGCCAUCGGUUGUUCAUUUUUCUUUUUCACAUCCUGAGAUGGAAUUUACAAAAAAGAAAGUCAUCAUUUUUAUUUGCUAACAACGACUGCUGCAGUCAGCAUGCCCGUUAUAGUGACAGCCUCCUAAAAGGAUGCCUCUUGCUGGUUAAACUUUUAUGCGGUUUGUGUGAGAGGGGUAUUUCACAUGCCAUAAAACACUGCUGUUCCAUGUUCAUAGCUUUAUACUGUUUUUAAAUUUCUGUAGUUGUAACUUUCAGUGAUUUUUAAUGGAGUUAGCCAAAAAAUAUUUUUCUCCCAAGUAGUGCAGUAUUUAUAGUGCUACUCCAAUAUAAUUCUCAAUCAAUGAAAUAAAGCAAAAAUAUGUCCCAUACAGAGCACAGCAUGCCAUGGUCACUGAUUUCUUAAGUGUAUGAAACAAAAAGUAACCAAGAAAAAAAAAAA